AUCGCGGUAAAGGUUGGUUAAAAAUAAUAACAAAAUAAAGCCGAAUGCUCCCUCAACUGUUAUACGUUCUCGAGAGCCAGAAGACCCCCUACGAAAGUAGCUUUAAUACUAUUGAACCCACGAAAGCUAAGACACAAACUGGGAUUAGAUACCCCACUAUGCUUAGCCCUAAACUACAAUAAUCUUUUUACAAAAAUUAUGCGCCAGGGAACUACAAGCAUUAGCUUAAAACCCAAAGGACUUGGCGGUGCUUAAUAACCCCCUAGAGGAGCCUGUUCUAGAACCGAUAACCCUCGUUUAACCUCACCCUUUCUUGUUCAUCCCGCCUAUAUACCGCCGUCGUCAGCUUACCCUGUGAAGGAUACAAGUAAGCACAAUCAGUA
rnacentral:rRNA from 1 species